rnacentral:sRNA from 1 species
CUUAAAGAAAGAAACAAGUUCUUGGCAAGAGAAGCAUCCUCCUUGAAGUAUUUGGCUGAGGAGUUUUCAAUCCCAGUUAUCUUGACGAAUCAGGUUACAACCCAUCUGAGUGGAGCCCUGGCUUCUCAGGCAGACCUGGUGUCUCCAGCUGAUGAUUUGUCCCUGUCUGAAGGCACUUCUGGAUCCAGCUGUGUGAUAGCCGCACUAGGAAAUACCUGGAGUCACAGUGUGAAUACCCGGCUGAUUCUCCAGUACCUUGAUUCAGAGAGAAGACAGAUUCUUAUUGCCAAGUCCCCUCUGGCUCCCUUCACCUCAUUUGUCUACACCAUCGAGGAGGAAGGCCUGGUUCUUCAAGCCUAUGGAAAUUCCUAGAGACAGAGAAAUGUGCAAACCUGUUCAUCUUGCCAAGAAAAAUCCGCUUUUCUGCCACAGAAACAAAAUAUUGGGAAAGAGUCUUGUGGUGAAACACCCAUUGUUCUCUGCUAAAACGUUUGUUUGCUACUGUGUAGACUCAGCUUUAGUCAUGGAAUUCUAGAGGAUGUAUCUCACAAGUGGGAUCAAGAACAAGCCCGACAGUAAUCUGCACCAUAAGUUGAUUUGAUACCAUGGCACUGACAAUGGGCACACAGGGAACGGGAAGUGGGAAUGAGAGCAAGGGUUGGGUUGUGUUCGUGGAACACACAGGUAUUUUUUUUUUUUUACUUUCUCUUUCUAAAAUAUUUCAUUUUUAUGGAGGUGAAAUUUAUAUAAGAUGAAAUUAACCA